rnacentral:misc_RNA from 1 species
GAUGAAGAACGUAGCGAAAUGCGCUAAGUAAUGUGAAUUGCAGAAUUCAGUGAAUCAUCGAAUCUUUGAACGCACAUUGCGCCCGCCAGUAUUCUGGCGGGCAUGCCUGUUCGAGCGUCAUUUCAACCCUCAGGCCCCCAGUGCCUGGUGUUGGGGAUCGGCCCAGCCUUCCUGUAAGGCCGCCGGCCCCGAAAUCUAGUGGCGGUCUCGCUGUAGUCCUCCUCUGCGUAGUAGCACAACCUCGCAGUUGGAACGCGGCGGUGGCCAUGCCGUUAAACACACCACUUCUGAGAGUUGACCUCGGAUCAGGUAGGAAUACCCGCUGAACUUAAGCAUAUCAAUAAGCGGAGGA